rnacentral:rRNA from 1 species
UACGAGGGGUGCGAGCGUUGCUCGGAAUUAUUGGGCGUAAAGGGUAGGUAGGUGGUCUCAUUUGUCUGGGGUGAAAGCCUUGAGCUUAACUCAAGAAGUGCCCCAGAAACGGUGAGACUAGAGUCCUGGAGAGGGUCGUGGAAUUCCCGGUGUAGCGGUGAAAUGCGUAGAGAUCGGGAGGAACACCAGAGGCGAAGGCGGCGACCUGGACAGGUACUGACACUCAACUACGAAAGCGUGGGGAGCAAACAGG